AUGGCUCAGGAUGAACGCUGGCGGCGUGCUAACACAUGCAAGUCGAACGAAGCUCCCCGAUUUGAGUUUCGGACAAGAUGAAGGGAUGACUUAGUGGCGGACGGGUGAGUAAUGCGUGAGCAACCUGCCCUUCAGUGGGGGACAACAGUUGGAAACGACUGCUAAUACCGCAUAAAGUAUUCGGAAGGCAUCUUUUGAAUACCAAAGAUUUUAUCGCUGAAGGAUGGGCUCACGUCUGAUUAGCUAGUUGGUGAGGUAAUGGCUCACCAAGGCUGCGAUCAGUAGCCGGACUGAGAGGUUGACCGGCCACAUUGGGACUGAGAUACGGCCCAGACUCCUACGGGAGGCAGCAGUGGGGAAUAUUGGGCAAUGGGCGCAAGCCCUGACCCAGCAACGCCGCGUGAAGGAAGAAGGCUUUCGGGUUGUAAACUUCUUUUAGCAGGGACGAAACAAAUGACGGUACCUGCAGAAUAAGCACCGGCUAACUACGUGCCAGCCGCGGC
rnacentral:rRNA from 1 species